rnacentral:rRNA from 1 species
CACGGGGGGAGCAAGCGUUGUUCGGAAUCACUGGGCGUAAAGGGCGUGCAGGCGGUCAGGUAAGUGGGAUGUGAAAUGCCCCGGCUCACCCGGGGACCGGCAUCUCAUACUGCUUGGCUUGAGUACGGGAGAGGAUGUGGGAAUUCCUAGUGUAGAGGUGAAAUUCGUAGAUAUUAGGAAGAACACCAGUGGCGAAGGCGGCUCACUGGUCCGGUACUGACGCUGAGGUGCGAAAGCGUGGGGAGCAAACAGG